rnacentral:rRNA from 1 species
ACGGGAGGCAGCAGUGGGGAAUAUUGGACAAUGGGGGAAACCCUGAUCCAGCGACGCCGCGUGAGUGAAGAAGUAUUUCGGUAUGUAAAGCUCUAUCAGCAGGGAAGAAAAUGACGGUACCUGACUAAGAAGCUCCGGCUAAAUACGUGCCAGCAGCCGCGGUAAUACGUAUGGAGCAAGCGUUAUCCGGAUUUACUGGGUGUAAAGGGAGCGUAGACGGCGAGGCAAGUCUGAUGUGAAAGCCAUGGGCUCAACCCAUGAACUGCAUUGGAAACUGUCUUGCUUGAGUGUCGGAGAGGUAAGCGGAAUUCCUAGUGUAGCGGUGAAAUGCGUAGAUAUUAGGAGGAACACCAGUGGCGAAGGCGGCUUACUGGACGAUAACUGACGUUGAGGCUCGAAAGCGUGGGGAGCAAACAGGAUUAGAUACCCUGGUA